rnacentral:rRNA from 1 species
GCGCAGCAGUCGAGAAUACUUUACAAUGUGCGAAAGCACGAUAAGGGAACUCUGAGUGCCUCCUAAGGAGGCUGUUCAGGUGUCUAAAAGCACCUGGAGUAAGGGCUGGGUAAGACCGGUGCCAGCCGCCGCGGUAACACCGGCAGCCCAGGUGGUAGCCACUUUUAUUGGGUCUAAAGCGUCCGUAGCCGGUUGAGUAAGUUCCUUGGGAAAUUUGGCUGCUCAACAGUCAAGCUUCCAGGGAAUACUGCUCGACUUGGGACUGGGAGAGGUCAGAGGUACUCCAGGGGUAGGGGUGGAAUCCAUUAAUCCCUGGGGGACCACCGGUAGCGAAGGCGUCUGACCAGACCAGGUCCGACGGUGAGGGACGAAGGCUAGGGUCGCGAACCGGAUUAGAUACCCUGUAGU